UAUUGGACAAUGGGCGAAAGCCUGAUCCAGCAAUGCCGCGUGUGUGAAGAAGGCCUUCGGGUUGUAAAGCACUUUAGCCAGGAAAGAAAAAGCUUGACCUAACACGUCAAGCCUUGACGGUACCUGGAGAAUAAGCACCGGCUACCUCUGUGCCAGCAGCCGCGGUAAUACAGAGGGUGCAAGCGUUAAUCGGAUUUACUGGGCGUAAAGCGUGUGUAGGUGGUUGUUCAAGUCGGUUGUGAAAUCCCUGGGCUCAACCUGGGAAUUGCUUCCGAGACUGAGCGGCUAGAGUACGGUAGAGGGCGGUGGAAUUUCCGGUGUAGCGGUGAAAUGCGUAGAUAUCGGAAGGAACACCAAUGGCGAAGGCAGCCGCCUGGGCCUGUACUGACACUGAGACACGAAAGCGUGGGGAUCAAACAG
rnacentral:rRNA from 1 species